CCUACGGGAUGCAGCAGUGAGGAAUAUUGGUCAAUGGGCGCGAGCCUGAACCAGCCAAGUAGCGUGAAGGAUGACUGCCCUACGGGUUGUAAACUUCUUUUAUAAAGGAAUAAAGUGAGGCACGUGUGCCUUUUUGUAUGUACUUUAUGAAUAAGGAUCGGCUAACUCCGUGCCAGCAGCCGCGGUAAUAAGGAGGAUCCGAGCGUUAUCCGGAUUUAUUGGGUUUAAAGGGAGCGUAGAUGGGUUGUUAAGUCAGUUGUGAAAGUUUGCGGCUCAACCGUAAAAAUGCAAUUGAUACUGGCAGCCUUGAGUACAGUUGGGGUAGGCGGAAUUCGUGGUGUAGCAGUGAAAUGCUUAGAUAUCGCGAAGAACUCCGAUUGCGAAGGCGGCCUACUAAACUGCCACUGACAUUGAUGCUCGAAGGUGUGGGUAUCAAACGGGAUUAGAUACCCUUGUAGUC
rnacentral:rRNA from 1 species